CUCCACUAGCUGAGAAAUGGAAUUUGACUUUUAACCUCAACCACUCCCCAAUUGCUUUGACCCUUAUGCUCCGGCUUGAAAUGGAGCAACGGAGGAGUUCUACGAUGGGGAUGAUUAUGGAAGAGAGAGAAUGUUGGAGGCGAGGAACUUGGUGAAGGAUCUUCACGUUGGGUCUUCAUUGCUUCCGGUUGCCAUAUCUUCAGAGUCCAGCUCAAAUCCGAAUGUUUUACAGCUGCCACACAACGGAACUAGAAAGUCACUCCUACAAUAAUGUGGUUUCAGCCAGAAAUGUGCACUAUUUUUGGCUUGGCUGAUGGCGGGGACAAAAAUUUGCGAAGCUCGGGACUCUUGGAAGAAUUGGUUGACCACAUAAAUGUGAUGCUUGAGCAUCAUUUGGCUCGUGAUCCUGGGGGAAAGAAAAUAGAUAAGAAUGCCUUUGAAGUACAUGACAUUGCAUGUCAUUAUACGUCAUC